ACGCAACGCGAAGAACCUUACCUGGGUUUGACAUGCAUUGGACUGGCAGUGAAAGCUGUCUUCCCUUCGGGGCCGAUGCACAGGUGCUGCAUGGCUGUCGUCAGCUCGUGUCGUGAGAUGUUGGGUUAAGUCCCGCAACGAGCGCAACCCUUGCCCUUUGUUGCUACCGGGUCAUGCCGGGCACUCUGAGGGGACUGCCCCGGUGAACGGGGAGGAAGGUGGGGAUGACGUUAGCCUAUCGAGA
rnacentral:misc_RNA from 1 species